CGAUGCAACGCGAAAACCUUACCUACCCUUGACAUGUCCGGAAUCCGAAGAGUAUUUGGGAGUGCUCGCAAGAGAACCGGAACACAGGUGCUGCAUGGCUGUCGUCAGCUCGUGUCGUGAGAUGUUGGGUUAAGUCCCGCAACGAGCGCAACCCUUGUCAUUAGUUGCCAUCAUUUGGUUGGGCACUCUAAUGAGACUGCCGGUGACAAACCGGAGGAAGGUGGGGAUGACGUCAAGUCCUCAUGGCCCUUAUGGGUAGGGCUUCACACGUCAUACAAUGGUCGGUACAGAGGGUUGCCAACCCGCGAGGGGGAGCUAAUCCCACAAAGCCGAUCGUAGUCCGGAUCGCAGUCUGCAACUCGACUGCGUGAAGUCGGAAUCGCUAGUAAUCGUAGGUCAGCAUACUGCGGUGAAUACGUUCCCGGGGCUU
rnacentral:rRNA from 1 species